rnacentral:lncRNA from 1 species
CAGCCAAUGGCUGUGAUCAAAAAUUCAACACAAAAUCAAACUUGAAGAAACAUUUUGAACGCAAACAUGAAAAUCAACAAAAACAAUAUAUAUGCAGUUUUGAAGACUGUAAGAAGACCUUUAAGAAACAUCAGCAGCUGAAAAUCCAUCAGUGCCAGCAUACCAAUGAACCUCUAUUCAAGUGUACCCAGGAAGGAUGUGGGAAACACUUUGCAUCACCCAGCAAGCUGAAACGACAUGCCAAGGCCCACGAGGGCUAUGUAUGUCAAAAAGGAUGUUCCUUUGUGGCAAAAACAUGGACGGAACUUCUGAAACAUGUGAGAGAAACCCAUAAAGGAAAUACUAUGUGAAGUAUGCCGGAAAACAUUUAAACGCAAAGAUUACCUUAAGCAACACAUGAAAACUCAUGCCCCAGAAAGGGAUGUAUGUCGCUGUCCAAGAGAAGGCUGUGGAAGAACCUAUACAACUGUGUUUAAUCUCCAAAGCCAUAUCCUCUCCUUCCAUGAGGAAAGCCGCCCUUUUGUGUGUGAACAUGCUGGCUGUGGCAAAACAUUUGCAAUGAAACAAAGUCUCACUAGGCAUGCUGUUGUACAUGAUCCUGACAAGAAGAAAAUGAAGCUCAAAGUCAAAAAAUCUCGUGAAAAACGGAGUUUGGCCUCUCAUCUCAGUGGAUAUAUCCCUCCCAAAAGGAAACAAGGGCAAGGCUUAUCUUUGUGUCAAAACGGAGAGUCACCCAACUGUGUGGAAGACAAGAUGCUCUCGACAGUUGCAGUACUUACCCUUGGCUAAGAACUGCACUGCUUUGUUUAAAGGACUGCAGACCAAGGAGCGAGCUUUCUCUCAGAGCAUGCUUUUCUUUAUUAAAAUUACUGAUGCAG